ACGUAGGCAGCAAGCGUUGUUCGGAGUUACUGGGCGUAAAGGGUGUGUAGGCGGUCUUCUAAGUCUGGUGUGAAAUCUCCCGGCUCAACUGGGAGGGUGCGCCGAAAACUGGAAGGCUAGAGUGCGGGAUGGGAGAGUGGAAUUCCUGGUGUAGCGGUGAAAUGCGUAGAUAUCGGGAGGAACGCCAGUGGCGAAGGCGAGUCUCUGGGAUGAUACUGACGCUGAUGCUCGAAAGCUAGGGGAGCAAACGGGA
rnacentral:rRNA from 1 species